rnacentral:rRNA from 1 species
UAUUGCACAAUGGGGGAAACCCUGAUGCAGCGACGCCGCGUGUGGGAAGACGGUCCUCGGGAUUGUAAACCACUGUCCCCAGGGACGAAGAUGACGGUACCUGGGGAGGAAGCUCCGGCUAACUACGGGCCAUCAGCCGCGGUAAUACGUAGGGUGCAAGCGUUGUCCGGAAUUACUGGGCGUAAAGAGCUCGUAGGUGGUUUGUCGCGUCGUCUGUGAAAUCCCGGGGCUUAACUUCGGGCGUGCAGGCGAUACGGGCAUAACUUGAGUGCUGUAGGGGAGACUGGAAUUCCUGGUGUAGCGGUGAAAUGCGCAGAUAUCAGGAGGAACACCGAUGGCGAAGGCAGGUCUCUGGGCAGUUACUGACGCUGAGGAGCGAAAGCAUGGGUAGCGAA